GCAAUAAGUAAAUUUGAAGAAAUAAUAUUUAUCAUGUUAGUCUUGCAAACUUUUGGCAUUCGAUGAUGCUUUUGAUCCUAGUGAAGGGUUCACAGAUUUAAAUGUAUCUACAAAUCUGCUGCACUAUCAAUAAAAAAAAGAUAUAGAGAAUAUAAAAAAAAACAAUCAAUUCAAAUGAAUAUAAGCACGCAUGAUUUGUCAUUGAAUUCUUGGUCAAGCGGUUACCCGUGUACAUUGAAAUAUAAUAAUCCUUGAUGAACAAUAAUAAUAUAUUUUACUUACUUUUUAUGACUUAUUGUCGGUCC
rnacentral:lncRNA from 1 species